UACCCCUAGCAAAUCUCAAAAAACCGUCUCAGUUCGGAUUGUACUCUGCAACUCGAGUGCAUGAAGGUGGAAUCGCUAGUAAUCGCAGAUCAGCACGCUGCGGUGAAUACGUUCCCGGGCCUUGUACACACCGCCCGUCACACCAUGGGAGUUGGCUUUACCUGAAGACGGUGCGCUAACCGCAAGGAGGCAGCCGGCCACGGUAGGGUCAGCGACUGGGGUGAAG
rnacentral:rRNA from 1 species